rnacentral:lncRNA from 1 species
CUCAAAAGAAGCACAAAUGCAUAAACAAGGACAGAAACCCUGAGAGUGACUAGCUCAGCAAACAAUGAAGCAUUGGAAGAUUUUUACCCUGGACCUGCUGACAGGUCCUAAAGAGGAUAGCUUCUGUCUGGUUUCUAUCUCUUGGAUCCCUUACUCGAGGCAUAGCCAGCUGCUUUGUCAUGAGGAUGUUCAAGCAGUCCCUGGGAGAGGCCCAUGUGGGGAGGAACUGAGGUCUCUCACCAACAGCCAUUACCGAUGUCACUUUGGAAACGGAUUCUCCAGCCCAGUCAAGCCUUCAGAUGACUGCAGCCCCUGCUGACAUCUUGACUGCAACCUCAUAAGAGAUCCUGAGCCAGAACCACCCAGAGUAAACUCCAAUACGGUUCAUAGAAAGCACACAACAUUCUUAAGAGAGUUUUGUUGUCGGAAACACUGCCAGCUUGGACUGAAAGGGAUUCCUUUGGACUCCAAAACUUCUACCAGCAGGAAACAGACUGAGAAAACUCGUCGACGGCAAACUUGAGCUGUUUUGCAAGUGAAAAUAAGAAUAACUCAGAAGCCAGAAUCAAGAGUCCAAAGGGCAGAGGGAAGAGCCAUGGAGUAGUAUCGCCAGGCCUAGAGUCUAAUCAACUGCCCUGAUGAGAAAACAGAUCAAAAGAAGGGGAUUUGGGCUUUGUAUCAUCAGAUUGGAAACUCUAUGAGGACAGGAACUUUGUUGACUAUUUUAUCCUCUGCACUUUGCCUGGCCCAGAGAAGUUGACCGAACUUGUCUGAGGCAACAAAGUGGGUAAAGAGAAGGACAAGGAUGGAGUCAUCAAAGGAUAAACUUGAUAAGGGCAGAGCCCACAGUUCCACAUGUGAAAUCCAUGACCUGAUUGUCAAUGGGGAGAGUCUCCCCUGUGUCUGCUGGACUCCCUGGGCAUGGCGUGCUUCAGAGGACUGUCAGCAGAUUGUUGACUGCAGAAUUCAACGACCUAAAGGAGAAGAGCUUGACAAGCUUGAUGUAGCAGGGGAAGUUAAGGGUGAAAUUUAAAUGGAAAGGGAAAUAUAUAUGGUAUCAGUUUCCUAUUGCUGCUGUAACAAGUGAUCAUAAACUUAGUGGCUUAAAACAACACAAACUUAUUAUCUUACAGUUCUGGAGGUCAGAAGUCCAAAAUAG